GUGAAAGUAGUUUAAUGGCAGAACUACAGUCUGUGGCUUUGUUCGUGGGAGUUCGAUUCUCUCCUUUCACAA
rnacentral:tRNA from 1 species